UGAACGCUGGCGGUAGGCCUAACACAUGCAAGUCGAACGGCAGCACAGUAAGAGCUUGCUCUUAUGGGUGGCGAGUGGCGGACGGGUGAGGAAUACAUCGGAAUCUACUCUGUCGUGGGGGAUAACGUAGGGAAACUUACGCUAAUACCGCAUACGACCUACGGGUGAAAGCAGGGGAUCUUCGGACCUUGCGCGAUUGAAUGAGCCGAUGUCGGAUUAGCUAGUUGGCGGGGUAAAGGCCUACCAAGGCUACGAUCGUUAGCUGGUCUGAGAGGAUGAUCAGCCACACUGGGACUGAGACACGGCCCCAGACUCCUACGGGAGGCAGCAGUGGGGAAUAUUGGACAAUGGGCGAAAGCCUGAUCCAGCAAUGCCGCGUGUGUGAAGAAGGUCUUCGGAUUGUAAAGCACUUUCGACGGGACGAUGAUGACGGUACCCGUAGAAGAAGCCCCGGCUAACUUCGCGCCAGGAG
rnacentral:rRNA from 1 species